CAAAAGAAGGGGUAAAGGUCGCCGCGCUCGAACUACGUAACUAAGUACCGCUUAAAACCGUUCUCUAGAGUCAGCGGCUAGAGAGCUCCCGCUCGGCCACCGAUCCGUAGGCCAGGAGGAGGGGGGAGGGGGGAGGGUAGGGGACGAAGGAACAGGAGUUUGCGUGCGUCUCCCUCUCCGCUUUAGCUACGGUACCACUAGGCCGACGCAACAGAAGAGACGAAGCGAACUGAAGCGCGGUGAGGAGUAGAAGGAGCACACCUAGACGCUUGGGACACAUGGGGAGGAGUAGGAGGUAGGUACCAACCAAAACUAAACAAUUACGAUAUUCUCUCUGUAUGUAACUCCUUGAAUCGAAGUAGUACAAGCUCCAUGUUCAAGACCGGGAAGUACGAACAAAGGUAGGGUAAACUAAGGUAACGUCCGUGGACAUUUACAUUUUUACAUAUAUUCGUAACAAGACAAUUAGAACUUUGUACAUGACAGACGAACAUGUACACAAACGGGGAAAAACAGUCAACUAUCCGAAUUAACUAUACUUUAACUAGUAAAAUAAUGAAGGAUACACAUGAGUAAACAUAAAUGUUUAUCAUCAAACAUCGUUAAACUUGAAGUUCAUCCUUUCUUUCCAGAAAGAUACAUCAAGGUUUCAAAUAUUUUAAGUCAGGAUCAAAGAAAUGAAAGAACAUUUACUCAAUAAAACAUUAGUACUAGAUUCGAAGACUAAUCACAUAUCAAACACACACGGUUUCAAAGACUUAAUGUCAGGAUCGAAAUAUUUUUAUCGUAAAGAUUGGACAAACAAGUUCCUAAAAGGAUUGAAAAACAUAAAAUAGAGGGUCUUGUACACUAGGGAUAGAAAAAAUAUGAGUAAAGGUACACGACAUUGACAACAAAAGUUAAGUCCUUGAAGGAUCAUCAAGACUUUAAGUGCUAAAAUUGUACCUAAAAAACAAAGGAUUGGAAAGACGAGCACGUGGGGAUCUGAGUAUCCUAGGAUCCCAAGAAGGACCUAGAUCAAAUUAAGAACCAAGAUCACAUUUGAAGGUCUUAAGGAAAAAAAAUCAAAUAAACAGAGACGUCGUACAUAUAUAUUACCAAGUGUCGGCGGGAAAUAAACUAAAGACUACAUCUGUCCGUCCCCUCUCUCUAGACAGAUUUAGUAUGAAUCAUACACCACUAACGUUUCAACCCCGACAAAUGGACACAAAUCAGUAGAAGUCGUCUCACCUAGUAGAAGUCCAAAGACAGGGUCUAGUACCUCCUUAGCGGGAGAACCAACCGCGAAUAAGGGCAAAGGAGAUCGAUAAGAGGGGGGAGGUACAAGAAGGGGAGACGUCACGUAAAAACAUCACCUAUAAUGUGACUUUUAUUAUCACCUUAAUAAUAACAUUAAAAUAUCGAAAAGUUACAUUAAAAAUCACGAGGUCUCGAAUUAAACAGUACAGUAAAAUCCACACACACGAAUCUACUGUAGUAGGACUAGGAAAGGAAAAGAAAAGUAUAACGAAAUCGAAUCACGUGUACAUGUACCAUUUCGAACGGACAUUGAAACGAAGAGACAGG
rnacentral:rRNA from 1 species